rnacentral:rRNA from 1 species
AUUGAACGCUGGCGGCAGGCCUAACACAUGCAAGUCGAGCGCGCGGCGGACGGGAGAGUAAUGUAGGGGGAUCUGCCAGAUGGAGGGGGAUAACUACUGGAAACGGUGGCUAAACCCGCAUACUAUCGGAUGAAACCAGAUGGGAUUAGCUAGUAGGUGGGGUAAAGGCUCACCUAGGCGACGAUCACUAGCUGGUCUGAGAGGAUGACCAGCCACACUGGAACUGAGACACGGUCCAGACUCCUACGGGAGGCAGCAGUGGGGAAUCUUGCACAAUGGGCGCAAGCCUGAUGCAGCCAUGCCGCGUGUAUGAAGAAGGCCUUCGGGUUGUAAAGUACUUUCAGCGGGGAGGCGUUACCCGCAGAAGAAGCACCGGCUAACUCCGUGCCAGCAGCCGCGGUAAUAC